GACGAACGCUGGCGGCGCGCCUAACACAUGCAAGUCGAACGAGCGAGAGGAGGUUUACUUUCUCAAGCGAGUGGCGAACGGGUGAGUAACGCGUGAGGAACCUGCCUCAAAGAGGGGGACAACAGUUGGAAACGACUGCUAAUACCGCAUAAGCCCACGACCCGGCAUCGGGUAGAGGGAAAAGGAGCAAUCCGCUUUGAGAUGGCCUCGCGUCCGAUUAGCUAGUUGGUGAGGUAAUGGCCCACCAAGGCGACGAUCGGUAGCCGGACUGAGAGGUUGAACGGCCACAUUGGGACUGAGACACGGCCCAGACUCCUACGGGAGGCAGCAGUGGGGAAUAGUGCACAAUGGGGGAAACCCUGAUGCAGCGACGACGCGUGGAGGAAGAAGGUCUUCGGAUUGUAAACUCCUGUUGUUGAGGAAGAUAAUGACGGUACUCAACAAGGAAGUGACGGCUAACUACGUG
rnacentral:rRNA from 1 species